GACGAACGCUGGCGGCGUGCUUAAUACAUGCAAGUCGAGCGAGGUUACUGUUUCGGAUCCCUUCGGGGUGAAGAAGCUUUAACCUAGCGGCGGACGGGUGAGUAACGCGUGGGUAACCUACCCCAAAGUCCGGGAUAACAGCGGGAAACCGCUGCUAAUACCGGAUGUCUUUACCUUGGGGCAUCUUGAGGUAAAGAAAGGUAACGCUUUGGGAUGGGCCCGCGUCCCAUUAGCUAGUUGGUGAGGUAACGGCUCACCAAGGCGACGAUGGGUAGCCGGCCUGAGAGGGUGGACGGCCACACUGGGACUGAGACACGGCCCAGACUCCUACGGGAGGCAGCAGUAGGGAAUAUUGCGCAAUGGACGGAAGUCUGACGCAGCGACGCCGCGUGAGCGAUGAAGGCCUUCGGAUCGUAAAGCUCUGUCCUUGGGGAAGAAGGCGAAAGCUUGACGGUACCCAAGAAGAAAGCCCCGGCUAACUACGUG
rnacentral:rRNA from 1 species